UACGGAGGGUGCGAGCGUUGUCCGGAUUUAUUGGGUUUAAAGGGUGCGCAGGUGGCCCGGUCAGUCAGUGGUGAAAUGCGGCCGCUCAACGGUCGAACUGCCAUUGAUACUGCCUGGCUUGAGAGGAGUGGAGGCCGCCGGAACGGACGGUGUAGCGGUGAAAUGCUUAGAUAUUACAUGGAAUACCAAUUGCGAAGGCAGGUUACUACUAAUUGAUUGACGCUGAUGGACGAAAGCGUGGGGAGCGAACAGG
rnacentral:rRNA from 1 species